UACGUAGGGUGCGAGCGUUAAUCGGAAUUACUGGGCGUAAAGCGUGCGCAGGCGGCUUUGCAAGACAGAGGUGAAAUCCCCGGGCUCAACCUGGGAACUGCAUUUGUGACUGCAAGGCUAGAGUACGGCAGAGGGGGAUGGAAUUCCGCGUGUAGCAGUGAAAUGCGUAGAUAUGCGGAGGAACACCGAUGGCGAAGGCAAUCCCCUGGACCUGUACUGACGCUCAUGCACGAAAGCGUGGGGAGCAAACAGG
rnacentral:rRNA from 1 species